rnacentral:rRNA from 1 species
GAGUUUGAUCCUGGCUCAGAUUGAACGCUGGCGGCAGGCUUAACACAUGCAAGUCGAACGAGGUUAGGGAGCUUGCUCCUGAUACCUAGUGGCGAACGGGUGAGUAAUGCUUAGGAAUCUGCCUAGUAGUGGGGGAUAACUUGGGGAAACUCAAGCUAAUACCGCAUACGACCUACGGGUGAAAGGGGGCGCAAGCUCUCGCUAUUAGAUGAGCCUAAGUCGGAUUAGCUAGUUGGUGGGGUAAAGGCCUACCAAGGCGACGAUCUGUAGCUGGUCUGAGAGGAUGAUCAGCCACACUGGGACUGAGACACGGCCCAGACUCCUACGGGAGGCAGCAGUGGGGAAUAUUGGACAAUGGGCGAAAGCCUGAUCCAGCCAUGCCGCGUGUGUGAAGAAGGCCUUUUGGUUGUAAAGCACUUUAAGUAGGGAGGAAAAGCUAAUGGUUAAUACCCAUUAGCCCUGACGUUACCUACAGAAUAAGCACCGGCUAACUCUGUGCCAGCAGCCGCGGUAAUACAGAGGGUGCAAGCGUUAAUCGGAAUUACUGGGCGUAAAGCGCGCGUAGGUGGUUACUUAAGUCAGAUGUGAAAGCCCCGGGCUUAACCUGGGAACUGCAUCUGAUACUGGGUAACUAGAGUAGGUGAGAGGGGAGUAGAAUUCCAGGUGUAGCGAUGAAAUGCGUAGA